GGGCUUGUGAUGUUAAAUCAAAUAUUAUCUUAGCAGAUUUCAGCGAGACUUAUUAUCAUCGAUGAUCUGAUUGUUACUCAUACUGAAGCCC